rnacentral:rRNA from 1 species
UACGUAGGCAGCGAGCGUUGUUCGGAAUUACUGGGCGUAAAGAGUGUGUAGGCGGUGCUCUAAGUUUGGUGUGAAAUCUCCCGGCUCAACUGGGAGGGUGCAUCGAAAACUGGAGUGCUCGAGGGUGGGAGAGGUAAGCGGAAUUCCUGGUGUAGCGGUGAAAUGCGUAGAUAUCGUCAAGAACACCGAUAGCGAAGGCAGCUUACUAAGCAGUAACUGACGCUGAGGCACGAAAGCGUGGGGAGCAAACAGGG